UUGCGGAAGCCUUUGCAGCUGGAAACAGUAGCUGAGCGACAAUAAAUAAUUUCAGCUUUAUGCAAGUCAGCGAUAGCUGGCGACACUUUCGAAUUGCGGGGAACUCCUAAGAGCCUUUUACACCAAACCAGCACGGGAAACCUGUUGGCGGCCUGUGGGAAACUACAGGGUAUGGUAACAGUUAAAAGGAUGAUCUAGCCUCUGGUUAGUGAAAUGGACAAUCCGCAGCGAAGCCCCUGCUGUUUAUGGUAGCUGGUAAGCCAGCCUCCAAACAUGGGGAACGUUCACAGACUAAGUGGAAGUGGGUGGGCUAUCAUAGCCUGCUUAAGAUAUAGUCGAGCCCCUUGGGAAACCCUGGGUGUGGAACAACUGUUCCGUAGGUGAACCUGCGGAAGGAUCAUUACAAUUCAGUAGCUUGCUACUGUCAGAAGGCGCGAUAAGCCCGUAUAGUUUAGUUACUGAUGAGCGGCAGCCCUUUUGUUUGUACCCUUGUCUUUUGCGCACUCAUGUUUCCUCGGCGGGUCUGCCCGCCGAUUGGACAAAACUAUAACCUUUUUUAUUUUCAAUCAGCGUCUGAAAACAAUUAAUAAUUACAACUUUCAACAACGGAUCUCUUGGUUCUGGCAUCGAUGAAGAACGCAGCGAAAUGCGAUAAGUAGUGUGAAUUGCAGAAUUCAGUGAAUCAUCGAAUCUUUGAACGCACAUUGCGCCCCUUGGUAUUCCAUGGGGCAUGCCUGUUCGAGCGUCAUUUGUACCCUCAAGCUCUGCUUGGUGUUGGGUGUUUGUCCUCUCCUGUGCGAUGGGACUCGCCUUAAAGCAAUUGGCAGCCAGUGUUUUGGUAUUGAAGCGCAGCACAUUUUGCGAUUCUAGCCUAAAUACUUGUGUCCACAAGCCUUUUUUAUAACGCUUGACCUCGGAUCAGGUAGGGAUACCCGCUGAACUUAAGCAUAUCAAUAAGCGGAGGAAAAGAAACCAACAGGGAUUGCCCUAGUAACGGCGAGUGAAGCGGCAACAGCUCAAAUUUGAAAUCUGGCUCUUUUAGGGUCCGAGUUGUAAUUUGCAGAGGGCGCUUUGGCGUUGGCAGCGGUCCAAGUUCUUUGGAACAGGACGUCACAGAGGGUGAGAAUCCCGUACGUGGUCGCUAGCCUUCGCCGUGUAAAGCCCCUUCGACGAGUCGAGUUGUUUGGGAAUGCAGCUCUAAAUGGGAGGUAAAUUUCUUCUAAAGCUAAAUACUGGCCAGAGACCGAUAGCGCACAAGUAGAGUGAUCGAAAGAUGAAAAGCACUUUGGAAAGAGAGUCAAAUAGCACGUGAAAUUGUUGAAAGGGAAGCGCUUGCAGCCAGACUUGCCUGUAGUUGCUUAUCUAGACUUUUGUCUAGUGCACUCUUCUGCGGGCAGGCCAGCAUCAGUUUAGGCGGUUGGAUAAAGGUCUCUAUCACGUACCUCCCUUCGGGGUUGGCCUUAUAGGGGAGACGACAUGCAGCCAGCCUGAACUGAGGUCCGCGCAUC
rnacentral:rRNA from 1 species